rnacentral:lncRNA from 1 species
GCUGACUUCUGGACUCCAGCCCCCAAAUUUGCUUCACAGGCUUGGGACGGGGCACAGUAGUUUGUGUUCCUAAGAAGUUCCCAAGUGGUGCUAAUGCUGCCGGUCCGGGGACCACAUUUGAGAAGCAUGGGUGUAAUCACUGCUCCUUCUCUCCCCGUAUCUCACUCCACCCCAAUCCGAGUGAGAGUCGAAGGAAACCUGAAGCUGAAGCCUGCAGUGUUCCCACCGCCCGCUCACCAAGCUCAUCAUCUGACUGGUGAGUGAUCUCGCUCCAAAUCCCAACUUAAAGGCUGCUUUCUAGGCUCUGCAGCACAGCUGCUCUGGUCUGAGUCCCUCUGACAGGCAUGCUGGAGACAAGGACCUGGAAGUAUACAGUUCAUUGGGAAGGCAUCUCAGAAAACAGAAGGAAGGUCAUGGGAAAGAACGACGAAAAAGAGUUCCUGGACGAUGAAGACUGUGUUACCAAGUUGGUUACUACCGCGAACAACGGAGAGACUCUCUCCCUGUGGUUACUAUCUGAGGAAUCACGUAGAAUUUGCCCCAGAAUUAACCCCCCAGAGAAUGGGGAGCUGGAGCACCUAAAUCCCCUCUCAUCCCUCAUUAUUUGAAACUUCUUCCUGAGACGUUAAUUCCUUCAUACAUUUUGUGAUCCUGCAAGCCCACAGACACAACAAAUUCACAACUACUCUUGGAACAAUUACUCCUUAGAGGGAACUGAAAACUGGGUUUAAAAAAACCCCUACAACAAGGGACAGUGCUGACUGAGGUGGAAGAGGAAGAAAUUCCUUCCUGGAGAGAAAAAAGCCGCCUUUGCGAGCCAUGGUGCUUCAUGGCUGGCCAGGAGCAAUCCUAAGGGACAUACAUCAUCGUCGAGCUGGAAGUGUUAUUUCACAGAUGAAGCAGACCAGAACCAGCUUGGUAACCCAUUCUCGUGAUGCGGAGAGUGAUACAAUUUCCAGUUGGGAAAUUUCACCCAGAGCUUGCUGCUUUCUUCUGAUUUUACUUCUCAAUAUCUGAAGUAUUUAUUUAAUUUUUUUCUGUCUUAUUGGACUAUAAAAUCAUGGAGUAUGAGGAUUAAGUCAUCUUUCCAUCUUUUUCCUAAGUCACAUAAACAAAUUCCAAUCCCUGCGCUCAUUUCUCAAAUUGAACAAGAGUAAAGAAGGCCAACAGCCAACUACAUCUUAUCAAGAAGAGUUUCUUAGAAAUAAGAUUAAAAUGGAAACAGACUUUUAAAGGAGAAACGGCUGCAUCCAUUUAUUGCAUUUUAUUGUCUACAGACUGUCAAGAGUAUACUGGAUGUGAGAAUUCAG